rnacentral:lncRNA from 1 species
AUACUUGUGUAAUAUCUUAUCUGUAGGAAGUAGUAAUGACAUUAUAAUUUGAACAGUUUUGGUGUGUAUGUUGAUGGUCUUCUAUGAGCUCGAUGAUUGUUUUAGACUUUUUUUUAAGUGGCCAAACUUAUAUACUCAGAUAGUUUCAUCUUUACCAUAGCAUCUUGUGUUCUCACGUAGGUGUGUAUUCAUGGUCUUGGCUGAACUGGAAACUCAUGACACGAAGGCCUAAAAUGAUAUUCUCCCAAGAUUAUGCAAAAUAUAUAAC